UUGUGCUGUGAAAUAUUUUUGUGCCUUGAAAAUUAUCUCCUGUCUUUUCAGAUUGCUAAAUAUUUCAGGGCUUUACUUUGUUUGCUUGAGGAACGCAUCUCUGGACACAUCUCACUGACUUCAAGACAGAGGUUCCUAGGAUGACAAGGAAUAUCCAGGAUUGUUUCAGCUUCUUCAUAAUGCUGUCACCCUCAAAGGAGGUCUCCUGGAUACUGAGGCUCGAUUUUGGACUACGGAGAGCUCCAUUAAAGCCUUACAGACAUGGGAAGUCUUGAGCAGCAUCCAUUUUGCAGUUGUGUUUUCUUGCAACUCCACCGACAACAGGGUGCACCGAUGGUCUGAUUACGUUUCCCUCAAUUACCUGAGACUUGCAUGCCAGAUCGAGAAUAGAUCUUUCCUAUUUAGAAACCCCAGGGACUAAGCUGGGGAGCCUGCCUUGAUGGGGAAGAUGCAUCAAUUAUGGGACCUGACAAAAUGUGUCUUCAAGCAGAACUUCCGAUUCCCUCCAAGACGUCUUUGCAAAAUGGGAAACGGACUCCGGUGCUUCAUGAAGAGUAAUUACUUGCCUGUCCAUGUGGUGUGUUCCUCUUUUAUGACUCAGGGAGGAUGUGCGGGGAAGUGUCCCGUUGCUGCUGAUGGAACGGAUCUUCUAUCAAAACUGCCCUGGAUUGAGAUUAACUUUACCUGCUGAGCGUUGCAAAAUUUAUCUCCCUGCCCUCUGACCGUCAUCUAUCAGCAGCC